rnacentral:rRNA from 1 species
UACGUAGGGUGCGAGCGUUGUCCGGAAUUAUUGGGCGUAAAGAGCUUGUAGGCGGUCUGUCGCGUCUGCUGUGAAAAUCCGGGGCUCAACCCCGGACUUGCAGUGGGUACGGGCAGACUAGAGUGUGGUAGGGGAGACUGGAAUUCCUGGUGUAGCGGUGAAAUGCGCAGAUAUCAGGAGGAACACCAGUGGCGAAGGCGCCGCUCUGGGCCGUGACUGACGCUGAGGAGCGAAAGCGUGGGUAGCAAACAGG